rnacentral:rRNA from 1 species
AAUACAUGCAAGUCGAGCGAACAGACAAGGAGCUUGCUCCUUUGACGUUAGCGGCGGACGGGUGAGUAACACGUGGGUAACCUACCUAUAAGACUGGGAUAACUUCGGGAAACCGGAGCUAAUACCGGAUAAUAUUUCGAACCGCAUGGUUCGAUAGUGAAAGAUGGUUUUGCUAUCACUUAUAGAUGGACCCGCGCCGUAUUAGCUAGUUGGUAAGGUAACGGCUUACCAAGGCGACGAUACGUAGCCGACCUGAGAGGGUGAUCGGCCACACUGGAACUGAGACACGGUCCAGACUCCUACGGGAGGCAGCAGUAGGGAAUCUUCCUAGAAUGGGCGAAAGCCUGACGGAGCAACGCCGCGUGAGUGAUGAAGGUCUUCGGAUCGUAAAACUCUGUUAUUAGGGAAGAACAUACGUGUAAGUAACUAUGCACGUCUUGACGGUACCUAAUCAGAAAGCCACGGCUAACUACGUGCCAGCAGCCGCGGUAAUACGUAGGUGGCAAGCGUUAUCCGGAAUUAUUGGGCGUAAAGCGCGCGUAGGCGGUUUUUUAAGUCUGAUGUGAAAAGCCCACGGCUCAACCGUGGAGGGUCAUUGGAAACUGGAAAACUUGAGUGCAGAAGAGGAAAGUGGAAUUCCAUGUGUAGCGGUGAAAUGCGCAGAGAUAUGGAGGAACACCAGUGGCGAAGGCGACUUUCUGGUCUGUAACUGACGCUGAUGUGCGAAAGCGUGGGGAUCAAACAGGAUUAGAUACCCUGGUAGUCCACGCCGUAAACGAUGAGUGCUAAGUGUUAGGGGGUUUCCGCCCCUUAGUGCUGCAGCUAACGCAUUAAGCACUCCGCCUGGGGAGUACGACCGCAAGGUUGAAACUCAAAGGAAUUGACGGGGACCCGCACAAGCGGUGGAGCAUGUGGUUUAAUUCGAAGCAACGCGAAGAACCUUACCAAAUCUUGACAUCCUUUGACAACUCUAGAGAUAGAGCCUUCCCCUUCGGGGGACAAAGUGACAGGUGGUGCAUGGUUGUCGUCAGCUCGUGUCGUGAGAUGUUGGGUUAAGUCCCGCAACGAGCGCAACCCUUAAGCUUAGUUGCCAUCAUUAAGUUGGGCACUCUAAGUUGACUGCCGGUGACAAACCGGAGGAAGGUGGGGAUGACGUCAAAUCAUCAUGCCCCUUAUGAUUUGGGCUACACACGUGCUACAAUGGACAAUA